GACGAACGCUGGCGGCGUGCUUAACACAUGCAAGUCGAACGGAAAGGCCCUGCUUUUGUGGGGUGCUCGAGUGGCGAACGGGUGAGUAACACGUGAGUAACCUCCCCUUGACUUUGGGAUAACUUCAGGAAACUGGGGCUAAUACCGGAUAGGAGCUCCUGCUGCAUGGUGGGGGUUGGAAAGUUUCGGCGGUUGGGGAUGGACUCGCGGCUUAUCAGCUUGUUGGUGGGGUAGUGGCUUACCAAGGCUUUGCCGGGUAGCCGGCCUGAGAGGGUGACCGGCCACAUUGGGACUGAGAUACGGCCCAGACUCCUACGGGAGGCAGCAGUGGGGAAUAUUGCACAAUGGGCGGAAGCCUGAUGCAGCAACGCCGCGUGCGGGAUGACGGCCUUCGGGUUGUAAACCGCUUUCGCCUGUGACGAAGCGUGAGUGACGGUAAUGGGUAAAGAAGCACCGGCUAACUACGUG
rnacentral:rRNA from 1 species